rnacentral:rRNA from 1 species
GACGAACGCUGGCGGCGUGCUUAACACAUGCAAGUCGAACGGAAAGGCCCUGCUUUUGUGGGGUGCUCGAGUGGCGAACGGGUGAGUAACACGUGAGUAACCUGCCCUUGACUUUGGGAUAACUUCAGGAAACUGGGGCUAAUACCGGAUAGGAGCUCCUGCUGCAUGGUGGGGGUUGGAAAGUUUCGGCGGUUGGGGAUGGACUCGCGGCUUAUCAGCUUGUUGGUGGGGUAGUGGCUUACCAAGGCUUUGACGGGUAGCCGGCCUGAGAGGGUGACCGGCCACAUUGGGACUGAGAUACGGCGCAGACGCCAACGGGAGGCAGCGGUGGGGAAUAUUGCACAAUGGGCGGAAGCCUGAUGCAGCAACGCCGCGUGCGGAAUGACGGCCUUCGGGUUGUAAACCGCUUUCGCCUGUGACGAAGCGUGAGUGACGGUAAUGGGUAAAGAAGCACCGGCUAACUACGUG